UACGAAGGGGGCUAGCGUUGCUCGGAAUUACUGGGCGUAAAGCGCACGUAGGCGGCUCUUUAAGUCGGAGGUGAAAUCCUGGAGCUCAACUCCAGAACUGCCCUCGAUACUGAAGAGCUCGAGUCCGGGAGAGGUGAGUGGAACUGCGAGUGUAGAGGUGAAAUUCGUAGAUAUUCGCAAGAACACCAGUGGCGAAGGCGGCUCACUGGCCCGGUACUGACGCUGAGGUGCGAAAGCGUGGGGAGCAAAGCAGG
rnacentral:rRNA from 1 species